GACGAACACUGGCGGCGUGCCUAAUACAUGCAAGUCGACCUUAGUGGCGAACGGGUGAGUAACACGUGGGUAACCUACCCAUCAGAAGGGGAUAACACUUGGAAACAGGUGCUAAUACCGUAUACUGAUGGAUGGACCCGCGGUGCAUUAGCUAGUUGGUGAGGUAACGGCGCACCAAGGCCACGAUGCAUAGCCGACCGAAGAGGGUGAUCGGCCACAUGGUGAUUGCGACACGGCCCAAAUGCCUACGGGAGGCAGAAGUGGGGAAUCUUCGGCAAUGGAGGAAAGUCUGACCGAGCAACGCCGCGUGAGUGAAGAAGGUUCUCGGAUCGUAAAACUCUGUUGUUAGAGAAGCGGUAUCUAACCAGAAAGCCACGGCUAACUACGUGCCAGCCGCCGCGGUAAUAC
rnacentral:rRNA from 1 species